GCUGACGAGUGGCGGACGGGUGAGUAAUGUCUGGGAAACUGCCUGAUGGAGGGGGAUAACUACUGGAAACGGUAGCUAAUACCGCAUAACGUCGCAAGACCAAAGAGGGGGACCUUCGGGCCUCUUGCCAUCGGAUGUGCCCAGAUGGGAUUAGCUAGUAGGUGGGGUAACGGCUCACCUAGGCGACGAUCCCUAGCUGGUCUGAGAGGAUGACCAGCCACACUGGAACUGAGACACGGUCCAGACUCCUACGGGAGGCAGCAGUGGGGAAUAUUGCACAAUGGGCGCAAGCCUGAUGCAGCCAUGCCGCGUGUAUGAAGAAGGCCUUCGGGUUGUAAAGUACUUUCAGCGGGGAGGAAGGGAGUAAAGUUAAUACCUUUGCUCAUUGACGUUACCCGCAGAAGAAGCACCGGCUAACUCCGUGCCAGCAGCCGCGGUAAUACGGAGGGUGCAAGCGUAAUCGGAAUUACUGGGCGUAAAGCGCACGCAGGCGGUUUGUUAAGUCAGA
rnacentral:rRNA from 1 species